AUAAGAUUAAAGAGUGUUUGAGGUCAGUGAGCCCGGUGUUCAGUGUGAUGUGAUUAGUUCAGCUCAUGAUGGAAAAAAGUGGUUAUACUCGGAAACAUGAAAAGGAAAAAUAACACAAGAGGAACCCACUGAGAUGACUGAUAGUCAUCAAAGAAGGGGGGUUUAUCUGCCACUGAGCUCAGUGAACUGGAAACUGUUUGCUUUGGAGGUGAUUAGUAAACAAGAAGCAGCUGGUUGAUUUCUAACAGGCUGCAGCUAAAGGGGAAAGAAAAGGGAAAAUGCAUAUAGCAGGUCAUCAAUCAGCAGGAGAAUGAGCUGAAUCAUCUGGGCUGCAGAUCCUGCUUUAUUCAUCAACAUUUACUGCCAGAAUUUACUCUUGACCAAAAGUGAAAACCUGUAAGACUUUGAAGGCUGGACUUUAACAGGCCUCUAUAAAAAAUGUUAUGAAUGUAGCUGCUCAUUUCUGAACAAUUUUAGCUUUUGCAGUAUUAUGUCUUUAUGCAAACAGUUUGAUUCAAAACAAUGUGAAGAUUUUAAAACUUGUUUCUUAUAAUAUGUCUCAAUAUCUAAUUUAGCAAUAAUGGACUCAAUAAAAUCAUCUUCAUAAAUCCAAAAUUAUUUUUUUCAAAUCAUCUAAAUGUAUUUUAUAUGUCAACAUGUAACUACUGAAAAGAAAAUCUGAAUACGUUUUGUGAGCUUCUAACGGCUUCUCUUUUUUCUCCUCCUACUCAUAAUCACAGAAUGCAACAGCAGAGGUUGUUGACAUAAUAAUAAGUACGUUUUCUAUUUCAAAUUCAGAACUCAGCUUUCUGUCUUUCCUUAAAUACAUGCACAAUUUGGAGGUGUGUCUGAUUUUUCUCGUCCGUUACCGUUCCA